AGCGCGCCCGGAGUGAUCCGGCUGCGGGCCAGGGUCUGGGAAGGGGGUGGUGGGUCGCCGUUUCAUCAGAAGCCCGAGGACGAGCGCCAGGGGGCAACUUCCUACAGGAGAGCGUCCCGUUAGAAUGACAGGGCUUUUGCAAAAGUCUGACACCCGUGGCACAGAGCGCCCCAGAUAUGGAGGGUUUCACAGUAGGCUGAGAAGGAGAAGGAAGUGAAGGGGUUGGUCUUGCCGUCUCACGAGUGGCAGAGGCAGGAGAAAAUCCAAAUGGAAUCACGACUUAAAGACUGCAUUCUUCCUUCUCAAAACUCAUGUUAAAGAUUUCUCCAUGCAGAGCCACAGGCUAUUUUGGAGUUGGAAAUGGAGCAGUUAAAACUAGGAGGUCACACACGUUGAGAUAAUUCCUUCACUGCAUCUCGCCUGGCUUGUGUGCCUGAGGAGACACGCAUCUCAGAGGGCAGAGGGGCAGCCGUUGUCUAAUGAGGUUAUUUCACCUACUAUAUAAUAAAAUGCACAGGACAAU